AUUGAACGCUGGCGGAAUGCUUUACACAUGCAAGUCGAACGGCGGCACGGGUGCUUGCACCUGGUGGCGAGUGGCGAACGGGUGAGUAAUAUAUCGGAACGUACCCAGUAAUGGGGGAUAACGAGUCGAAAGAUUCGCUAAUACCGCAUACGCCCUGAGGGGGAAAGCGGGGGAUCGUAAGACCUCGCGUUAUUGGAGCGGCCGAUAUCUGAUUAGCUAGUUGGUGGGGUAAAGGCCCACCAAGGCGACGAUCAGUAGCUGGUCUGAGAGGACGACCAGCCACACGGGAACUGAGACACGGUCCAGACUCCUACGGGAGGCAGCAGUGGGGAAUUUUGGACAAUGGGGGCAACCCUGAUCCAGCCAUUCCGCGUGAGUGAAGAAGGCCUUCGGGUUGUAAAGCUCUUUCGCGAGGAAAGAAAACUCACCCAAUAACACUGGGUGAGGCUGACGGUACCUUGAUAAGAAGCACCGGCUAACUACGUGCCAGCCGCCGCAGUAA
rnacentral:rRNA from 1 species